GGAGGGUACAGCUCAAGUGGUAGAGGGCAUGCUUAGCAUGCACGAGGUCCUGGGUUCAAUCCCCAGAACCUCCA
rnacentral:tRNA from 1 species